rnacentral:rRNA from 1 species
CCACGCAGUAAACGAUGAUAGCUCGUUGUCGGCGAUACACAGUCGGUGACUAAGAGAAAUCGAUAAGCUAUCCACCUGGGGAGUACGUUCGCAAGAAUGAAACUCAAAGGAAUUGACGGGGGCCCGCACAAGCGGAGGAACAUGUGGUUUAAUUCGAUGAUACGCGAGGAACCUUACCCGGGCUUGAAAGUUACUGACGGACUUGGAAACAGGUCUUCCCUUCGGGGCAGGAAACUAGGUGCUGCAUGGUUGU